rnacentral:lncRNA from 1 species
AACAAUUCGACUGGUUGAAAUCAGCAAGAAGGAAACUGGUUGAAUCAGAGAAAACCCUGGAACCAAGGCAACCAAAGAGGUGGUGUUGCAGGUAGAGGAAGAGGUGGUGGUCAAAAGCCAUACAAGAGUCACAUUCAGUGUUACAAUUGUCAAAGGCAUGGUCAUUAUUCUAGUGAUUGUCCAAAAAAGCAGAAGAAUCAAGAAACUUAUGCAAAGCUGGCGAAACAUGAAGAAG